UGGGGAAUUUUGGACAAUGGGGGAAACCCUGAUCCAGCCAUCCCGCGUGUGCGAUGAAGGCCUUCGGGUUGUAAAGCACUUUUGGCAGGAAAGAAACGUCGCGGGUUAAUACCCCGCGAAACUGACGGUACCUGCAGAAUAAGCACCGGCUAACUACGUGCCAGCAGCCGCGGUAAUACGUAGGGUGCAAGCGUUAAUCGGAAUUACUGGGCGUAAAGCGUGCGCAGGCGGUUCGGAAAGAAAGAUGUGAAAUCCCAGAGCUUAACUUUGGAGCUGCAUUUUUAACUACCGGGCUAGAGUGUGUCAGAGGGAGGUGGAAUUCCGCGUGUAGCAGUGAAAUGCGUAGAUAUGCGGAGGAACACCGAUGGCGAAGGCAGCCUCCUGGGAUAACACUGACGCUCAUGCACGAAAGCGUGGGGAGCAAACAGGAUUAGAUACCCUGGUAGUCCACGCCCUAAACGAUGUCAACUAGCUGUUGGGGCCUUCGGGCCUUGGUAGCGCAGCUAACGCGUGAAGUUGACCGCCUGGGGAGUACGGCCGCAAGG
rnacentral:rRNA from 1 species